rnacentral:rRNA from 1 species
UGCCUACGGGGGGCAGCAGCCGCGGUAAUACGUAGGGGGCAAGCGUUAUCCGGAUUCACUGGGCGUAAAGGGAGCGCAGGCGGCACGGCAAGUCUGGUGUGAAAGCCCGGGGCUCAACCCCGGCGAGCCGUUGAAACUGGCUGUCUUGAGAUGUCGAGAGGUAUGCGGAAUGCGCAGUGUAGCGGUGAAAUGCUUAGAUAUUGCGCAGAACUCCGAUUGCGAAGGCAGCAUACCGGCGGCGAUCUGACGCUGAGGCACGAAAGCGUGGGUAUCGAACAGGAUUAGAAACCCUAGUAGUCCCCAGA